rnacentral:lncRNA from 1 species
GAGAAGCCAUAUCGGGAACUGAUAAUGGGCUUGGGCUUGGGCCCAUAGGAGUAGUUGGUUGGGCCAUUGGGCUUGAAGAUGGAGUCAUUGGCAUCAUAGGUGGUGGAGUCAUGGGCAUUGGUGGUGGAGCCAUGGGCAUAGGUGGUGGAGUCAUAGGCAUAGGUGGUGGAGCCAUAGGCAUAGGUGGUGGAGUCAUCAUUGGCAUCGGAGAGCUGCGGCCGCUAGACAUCGGCGGCAUCGACAUUGAGCCAGAAGGAGCCAUCAUGGGAGAUUGAGCUAAAGAGAAAUGAAUUAAAACCAUAGGCAAUGUGACCAAAAGGAGGGCUUGUGAAGAGGCCAUGGUUAUGUGUGUUGAAUAGUGGGUGUUAUGUAAAGUGAUAUAUAGAGAGAGGUAUGUGAGUUGUAAAAGAAUGGGAGAGAAAAGUGAAGGUUCUUUGUGCUAUUGGGGAUAUAUAUUAGAGAUUAUUUGUUUUUAUUUUUGGACCGUUGGAUAUAGUGUGUGACACGUAUCAGUCGAUAGAUAGGUAUGAGAUGCUGAUUUAUUUUCCUCCACAUGUUGAAAAAAAAAAAGAGAUAGAAGAAAAUUCCAAAGUGAAAUUUCUUUGUAGGUACAGAUAGAAUAAUCAAUACACAUGAAAAUGGGACUAUUAUGAUUAUAAUGCAUUUUAUUUUCAUUCUUUAGUGGAACCAUCAAUCGGAUUCACGGGUUGGUUUUUAAGGGGGCCAUAUAUCAAAAUUAUUAGGAAUGUCAUUUAAUGGUGUUUGUUAGUCAUUAAUAUGCUAAAACGAUGAAAUUUUGAAAUGUUAGUAGACUUUUAUAACCAAGUCAAGAUAUAAUUUCAUCAGAAAAAAACAAUUUAUAUGGAAAAGGAUAAAAGACCAUAAUGCUAUGGUACAAGAGAAAAGACAAAUAGGGACCAUUUGUGUUGCAUUUGGUCACACAGGCCUAAUAAGCUCCACGGCCAAUAUUAUGUCCGCACCCACUAACCGACAUUUUUGGUUACCCCAUACUCUUUUCUUUUUUCCUCUCACGAGUACUCUUUGUCCCUCAUUUACUAUUUAUCCAUCUUUUAAAUUAUACUUUUUAAAACAAACAUGUAACAUGUUCUAUACAUAUAUAUAUAUACUUUGAUUUCGUUGUUUUAUUGUACAUUUCUUCAGCUCGUUUGAAUUUAACCGUUAUGAUCGUCCCUUGAUCAAAUGUAUUCUCUCAACUCAUUAGUUCAGGAUCCAGGAAAAUUAGAUGAAAUAGACAAAUAGUACAUGCAUCACUUGAAGUAACUAUAAUUACUAUACCGUUAAAGUAGUUGUAUAGAGAUUUCAAUAUUAUAACGUUAGGGCUCUAAAUAUAUGGGCUCAUUAUAAAUGGGCAUGUAGUCGCAUGAGGCCGAAUCCCAGCUGGCAGAGAAAUGAGCGGGAAAUUUUAUGUACAAAAUGCUCGAAACAAUGUCACACGUAGCGCACGUGCCAUUCUCCCGCCCGUUUCUCCAUUUUCCCCAAAUCUCAAAUUCUCAAUCCCUAGUUUCUCUCUCUCCCCAGAUUCACAGCAUUUGCAUUUUGCAAUGUCUGAAGACUCGGAACCGCGUCAACUCGGGAGAUCGACCGCCGGCGGAGAGCUAAUAGGUCUUGGUCUCACUGAGUCAGACGGCGAGGAGCAUUUCUAUCACCAGAAAGCUUUGGAGUUAUGUCGUCACCUACUCUUCGUUGGCCACUCAGAACUAGUUACAGAUCUUUCUUCACAAUGUACACACUUCCAAGCUUCGCCUGAGCUCGUCAAAGUUCUUUGCUCGAUUCCUAAUUCCCCUGUCUCCCUUACCGGAGACGGCUUAUCCGUGACUCUCUCGCGCGAGUUGCUCUCCGAUCCGGCCUGUUUCGCCUGUAGUUUGGGUGUGCCGGAAAAUGUUUUGUUUGAACAGAUUACGCGUUUCUCGGAUCCGAGAGCUCCCAAGCCUAAGCGAAAUGGUCUCGGGCAUAUGGGAGGUACUAACUUAGCACUUGUUUCAUUUUAGUCGUUAUCUGGCAUCUGAUUUUGUUGUUUAGUAGUCACACUUACAUAGAGAUUCUCUUCUUGAUUAUGGAUUAUUAUGAAAAAUUUCAGAAAAUGAGGAGCAAGAAGAGCUGCAGCUCAUGCCAUUGCCCAAAAGAAGCCGAAAGGAGGAACCAGAUGUAAGUAAUCUCUUUUAACAAAAAGAUGAAUUUCUCAAGGUAUAAUUCAAUUUCAAAAAUGGGGAGUUGAUUCAUUGAUUUUUUUUUUUCUAGGUGAAUGACUACUCUGUAAUGGAUAGCAGAGCUAACGACAUGACAAAUAUUGCCAAUGGGUCCAUGCUUGAGACACUGAAAGCUUUUGAAUCCCAAGCUUCGCUUUUAGUUUUAGGUAGAGAUGGUCGAGAAAUAGGAGCAUUUGACCAAAGUCCUUGGUCUGGUCCACGGACUAGAAUUUUUGGAUGCGAGAUUUUCUCCAAUGCUUGUGUGGAUGUCGAUCCUAUGCACUGCUUGGGGGAACGCAAGCAAGAUUCGCCAUCUCCUCGAGAGGUUGGAUACUGUAAGCAAAUUGAGAUUGAAGAUUUUCAAAUUGUUGAUAACCUAAGAUUAUUCGAAGACGAUGAGGAUAAAAACGAGAAGGAUUUGUUCCAUAAGGGGGAGAUACGAACUCCCGAUGUGCAGUCCGAUCCUGCUGCCCCUUCGAUGCCAUCAGAAAAUGAGUUAAAAUCUGUAUAUAUUGUAGAGGACACUGAAGAUAUGCUUGCCUUGAGUUGUAACCCAUUAAAGCAAGAGGACAACGCUGUAGACAUCUUCAGCACCCCUGUCAAAGAGCUGCCUUUGAUGCCUUCUGCAACAAUAGCUAAUCAAGAUAGAUCCUUGGUACAGAAAACACAGGAUCUGUGCAAAUUAUCGGGAAACAGCAAAGGUUACAGCUGUUCCCCUGAGAAAAAACACACCAGGAAAUGUAAAGCUAUCCAGAGGUCAAAGCAGAAUCUUAACUCCGUUCGACCUAAAGAUCAGAAGGUAGACAUUUCUUUUUUAUCUAGAGUGAGCCCCUUGCAAUUCCGUUUUUUUAUUUAUUUAAACAGCUUUCCAUGUUGCUGAAAGUACUUUUAUACCAACAUUGAGGAUUAAUCCACUAUAUUAAGAUUUCUCAUAUCUGUUGUUUAGGAUGAGUCAAAACAGAACACUUUUCCAGUUUUUGAUUCUUACACUAUUGUAGAGGAAGAAGGCUCAGGUACAUUUUCCUUACAAUUUCAUCUAUAUUCCUGAUUUUGUUGAAACAGCUUAAUUGGUUAUCGGCUAAUGAUUGGUGAAAUCCAACUGUAGGUGGCUACGGGAUUGUUUAUAAGGCAAAGAGGAAAACCGAUGGAAAAGAGUUUGCCAUUAAAUGUAUGAAACAGAAUGAUAUGUUGCUAGAUUUUUUCACUUCGUCACAUCGUUUUUGGUUGGCAAUUUGGUCUCAUGUGUUUUCCAUACAGGUCCCCAUGCUGGUGCUCAGAAAUACUAUGUUAAUAAUGAACUCCGAAUGCUGGAGCGUUUUGGGUAAGUAACAAAGUUUGAUCCGCUAAUGAACCUCCUACAUAUUUAAACCCAAAUAUCUGAAAUUGCCUAAAUGUUGGUUCACUUAGGGGGAAAAACUUUAUAAUAAAGUUUGAAGGCUGUCUUAAGAACGGAGAUUCCGAUUGCAUGAUCCUUGAGCACCUUGAACAUGACAGACCUGAUUGUUUGAGGAGAGAAAUAGACGUGUAUCAGCUACAGUUGUACGGAUACUGCAUGUUCAAAGCUCUGUCAAGUCUUCAUAAGCAGGUAAAGCAGAUGUUGGACUAAAACUUUUGAGCAUUCAUAUUUCAAUCACGCAACUAACCAGUUAUAUUGUUUUCUUUUGCAAAUGUGAAGGGUGUUGUUCAUAGGGAUGUUAAGCCAGGCAACUUUCUUUUCUCUAGGAAGAGUAGCAAAGGCUGUCUCAUUGACUUUAACCUCGCCAUGGUUAGCAUUUUUCUGGCACCCUUCUCUUAUUAAUACUUUUCUAGCAACAUUUAUUGGUUAGUGUUUUGUAUAAUAGAAUUUGAGGUUACGAAACCUGUUUAGUGCUCUUAUAUAAUAUUUAGGUCAGUGUCUACUAGAGGCACUGAAAAGCUUGAGCUGAGCUAUCACAAACGUUUGUGUUCAUAGUUUGUGUUAUGUUCCCACCCACUGAUAUUAAUUUCACUUUCCUCUGUGGCUUAAUUUAGGAUUUGCACCAGAAGCACAGGAGAGCCGGUAAACUUCUCCCCUCAUGCAUUUGGGUUGAAUUAAGUAAAACAAAUGGAAACUAAAGCUAUCCCUUAUAUGUAUAUCAGAUAAAUCAAAAGCAGCUACAGAUCUCCCAACCGCCAGCAAGAAGCAUCAUACUUUGAUUAAAUCUCCUGACACGACCAACCGAGUGACCAACAAAUCUUCUCAGAAAACUUUAGCGCCAAAUAGUCUGAAGAAAGCAGCGGGAAAGAUAAGAGCUCAGACUGACAUGAGUAGAUGGGAGAGGUUCAAUAGCCAAGGCGCGGAAGGGUCUGGCUUAACUUCGGCCAAAGAUGUGACCAGCACAAGGAACCACCCUUCAGGUGAAAAGAGGAGAGAGCCUUUGCCAUGUCAUGGAAGGAAAGAGCUUCUAAACUUUCUGCAAGAGACAAUGUCUGGUUCAAUUCCAAACCACGAAGUAUCAUCCAAAGCUCCUACAUCUAUGAGAAAACGUGUUGCUGCUCAUCCAGGGAAAGCUGAGAAACAGCUUCUUCAUCUGACCCCAAUGCCGCUGCGCUCUAAUGGUCGGCGUGAAGCAGGUGGAUUCCUGGUGUAUAAUUUGACUCUUGUUUUUUGUUUCAGAGUUUAACUUUAACCCUAAGAAAAAAAUCUGACUUACUAGGGGAUGUAAGUAAGAAGAAAGAUGGUCCUUGCUCAGGAACGAAAGGCUACCGAGCACCAGAGGUACGUCAACUGUAACUAUCGCUCACUUUGCUUAUAUGGUAGAGAGAGAGAAUGUUAGUGGGUUUAGGCUUCCGAGUUACUAGUAAAUCCAUUUAUAUAUCAUACAAAUCUUAUGCUUUGAGCUACUUAUUAGAACAUUUUAUGAUGGGAAAGCUAAUUCUCUGGGGCGGUUCUUGGCUGAAUUGGCUUGUGCAGGUUUGCUUAAGAUCUUUGCACCAAGGACCUAAGAUCGACGUGUGGUCUGCAGGAGUUACUCUAUUAUAUCUAAUGAUGGGAAAAACACCUUUUACUGGUGACCCUGAACAGUUAAGAUUUGUAAUUGACUUACUUUGCCAUCACUUCAUUGCAUUCUGUUUUCUUUCUUUCCUUCUUACAACGGCCUCUUGAUUCUCAGGAACAUAAAGGACAUUGCGCAGCUACGAGGCAGUGAAGAAUUAUGGGAAGUAGCCAAGCUGCAUAACCGUGAAUCUUCUUUCCCUGAGGUAAUAAUCGCACCUUAUCACCCUUGUAGACUCUUCUUUGCAUCGAUUGCUGCAUUUGUGUGGCAUAAUAUGGCUAUGUACACAUGGUCGGUUCUUAAAUCUAGAGAAAGAGAAGGUUGAUCUGGCUAAUAUCGCAUGCUCUGUUCUCCUUUACCGCCAGCAUUUGGAUUUAAAUAUCAAAUACUGUAAGAGGGUUUUCAGUUAUAGCGCUUUGGGUCCUAUUGCGGAAAACGGGGUAUAUAUUAUUAUAUACAUUACAUGAUCUGAUACGUUGUAUGGAUAGAUGAUAAAAAAGAGAUGAAUUCACGUAGCAAUUUUGUUUUUGCUCCAGGAAUUAUACGAGUCAAGGUACUUGAAGAGGAUGGAGCUGAGAAAAUGGUGCGAAAUCAACACAAAACGCAGAGACUUCCUAGACGUGAUUCCACGGUCGCUGCUUGACCUUGUUGAUAAGUGUUUGACUGUUAACCCAAGGCUACGAAUCGGCGCAGAGGAUGCUCUCAAGCACGACUUCUUUUAUACAAUCCAUGAAAAUGAAACCCUUAGAAAACAAAGGCUCCUAAAGCAGCAGCAAACGGGAACGCAGCCUCCAGUGGUGGCUAAUUCAGUAGGCCAACCGCUAAGCUAGAAAUCACAAAUGUAAAUUAAGUAAUAACAAAAUAUUAUAUGAAAGCUUCACUCCACAGGCCACACCACAAAUCCCAUAGUAGUAUAUGUCUAUAUGACUAGGGAACAUAUCAUAUUUGUUAUUAGAAGCAAGUCUAACUUCACUUGGGCCUUAAAUAAAUUUCGUGUUGGGAAUUGAUAUCAUUCAGUAAAAGUCCAAAAGUCUCUCGUCUGCGAAAUGGAAGAGAGUAAUGUCAAGUUUGUUUCUCACAGACUCACCCUAUGAAUUGCCGUGCAGCGUACGGAUCUUCUUAUUUUCUCUCAAUCUCUUCCUGUGACAGGAUUCUUCAUCACUAAUCUGCAACGAAUACUGGUUCACUUCCAUGGCGUCUUCUUCUUCUCGUUCCUGGAGAUACGAUGUUUUCCCGAGUUUCAGCGGUGAAGUUGUCCGCAAAUCAUUCCUCAGCCAUCUUCUGAAGGAGCUUGACCGCAAAUCAAUCAAUGCAUUUAUAGAUGAUGGGAUCGAGAGAAGCCGCCCGAUCGGCCCUGAGCUUUUAUCGGCGAUUAGAGAAUCGAGGAUCUCAAUCGUCGUCUUCUCAAAGAGUUAUGCUUCUUCCACGUGGUACCUGAAUGAAUUGGUGGAUGGAGAUCCACAAGUGCUAUAUGGAGUUUGACCAAAUGGUGAUUCCACAGCGUUGACCCUUCGGAAGUUCGAAAACAUACCGGAGAAUUUGGAAAGGUGUUUAAAGAGACAUGCGACGGCAAAACGGAGGAUCAGAAGCAAAGGUGGAUGCAAGCUCUCGUAGAUGUAGCAAAUAUGGCCGGAGAGGAUCUUCGGAACUGGUAUAAACUAUAAACCUUGUGUUAUCAUUCCAUAGUUCGUGUCGUGCAUUGACUUCGAUUGUGCUUUUAGGGCAGCUCUUUAAUGUCACAAUUUGUUAUUAGGUGUAACGAAGCCAGCAUGAUUGAAAAGAUAGCCGAUGAUGUUUCGAAUAAACUUAUCACAACAUCGGAUUGUUAUGGCGAUUUGGUGGGGAUUGAAGCUCAUUUAGAAGCAAUGAGCUCAAUAUUGUGCUUGGAAUCCGAGGAAGCUAGAAUGGUAGGGAUUUUGGGGCCUUCUGGGAUUGGUAAGAGUACCAUAGGAAGAGCUCUUUUCAGUCAACUCGCUAGCCAAUUCCAACUUUUGUAACUUAUAAAAGAACCAACCAGGAUGACUACGGCAUGAAGUUGUGUUGGGAAGAAAAUUUUUUAUCAGAGAUUCUUGGUCAAAAGGACUUGCAGAUAUACCAAUUAGGUGCGGUGGAGCAACGGUUAAAACUCAAGAAAGUUCUCAUUGUUCUUGACGAUGUUGAUGAUAUAGAGCUCCUAAAAACCUUGGUUGGGCAAACGGAAUGGUUUGGAUCCGGGAGCAGAAUUAUUGUGAUCACUCAAGAUAGGCAACUUCUUAAGGCUCAUGAGAUUGACCUUAUAUAUGAGGUGAAGUUCCCAUCUCAAGAUUCUGCUCUCAAGAUGUUAUGCCAAUCUGCAUUUCGGCAAAACUCUCCACCUAAUGGUUUAAUGGAAUUGACAGUUGAAGCUGCCAAGCUUGCCGGUAACCUUCCUUUGUGUCUCAGUGUCUUGGGUUCGUCUUUAAGAAGAAAGGACAAAAAAGAGUGGGAGGAGAUGCUGCCUAGACUCCAAAAUGGUUUGGACGGGAAGAUUGAGAAAAUAUUAAGAGUCGGCUACGAUAGAUUAGAUGGCAAAGACCAAGAGUUAUUUCUCUUCAUUGCAUUUGCAGGUUUAUUCAAUGGUUUGCAAGUCAGUUACAUCAGAUUAAAUGAUGUCAUUGAUGUGACAAUCAGUGUCAGUGACAUCAAAUGCUUGCUCGGAGAUGGUGUUACCACUGGGCUUACAGUGUUGACUGAUAAGUCCCUCAUACGUAUAACACCGCACGAAACUAUAGAGAUGCACAAUUCGCUACAGAAGUUGGCUAGAGAAAUUGGUCGUGCAGAGUCUAUAAACAAUCCUGGAAAACGACGAUAUCUGGUGGAUGUUGAGGACAUUUGCGAUGUUUUUACGGAUAAAACCGUAAGUUUUCUCGCAUAUGCUUUUAAUGCUCGGCUUUAUAAAAUUUAAGCGUUAUUUGGUGAUUGAUAGAUAAACUUUUACGAUUGUUCCCACCUGCUUUAUUUGAGCGCGGGGCUCAGAUGUCAUAAGGAGAAAAAAAAAAUCUCGCCUGCCAUAAAUCAUUGUGUAUUGACGUUUUUAGCCUUAAUGAACUGAUUAUAAAAUUAAAUAAAAUCGUUUAUUUUUAAAAAUAAAAAUAAAAGCUGCAAAUAAGCUUCUUCUUCCCCGAGUUAGGUUUCCGUACACAUCCGCCGCCGCCGCAGAGAGCUUGAUUCGAACCACCGUCGUUUGCUGGUGCCGGCUCAUUUUUUUUGUUUAACUACUCUUUCUUAUCCUGCCAUUUGUGUGAGAAGACUUCGAAAAGGUAUGGUGGUGUGUAUUUUGGAGAUUUAUAAAUUAGAGUUUUUUUUUGUUUGUUUGGUGGUCGUUUAACUAUGUACAUUGCCUAAGUUUGUUGUUUAUUGGUUAAGUUCUCUUCGAAUCGAUGUUAAUUUGUCGAUUUUUAGUGUUGAAUCUGUUUGGUAGAUGUGAAACGAGGAUGUGAAACCAAAGAUUUUAGCCAAGAAAGUUUGGGAAUUUAGAUAACUGGUACAAAAGGUAUAAGUAAAAGAUACGGGACAAGUAGUACAAAUGGUAGAACUGAUAAUUAUGGGACAACUAGUACAAGUCUCUGUUAAGACUGAUAAUGUGGGACAACUAGUACAAAUGUUAUAGUGAGAAAUUCGGGACAACUAGUAUAAAAGGUAUAACUGUGAAACGUAAUUGGUAAUAUUAUUUUUUAUUUGCUGCGUAUACCAGGAUAUAAUGAGCAUUGGCCACACCAACAUAAAUUUUGAGUAUGGAGGAUAUUAUUCACGGAACAAACGACCAACAGGUGUAACCCAGGAGUUUAGUUCAGGAACAAACGACCAACAGGUGUAACCCACGAAGAACUGGACAACUGUGUUUUUUUCAUCUAAUCAUGUUUUAGGACAUCUAGACAGCUAUGUACGUAUGUUGUCAUUUUCAUUUUUUUCAUAUGUUUAGAUAUCGGGAAAACUGGACAACUAUUACAACUAUGUUGUAUUUGUGAAGUACAAUUGACGUUUCAUAUGUUUGAAAUUGGGACAACUGGACAACUAGUACAAUUAUGUUGUAUUUGUGAGGUACAAUUGACGAAUCAUAUGUUUGAAAUUGGGACAACUGGACAACUAGUACAACUAUGUUGUAUUUGUGAGGUACAAUUGACGAAUCAUAUGUUUGAAAUUGGGACAACUGGACAACUAGUACAACUAUGUUGUAAUCAUAUGUUUGAAAUUGGGACAACUAGACAACUAGUACAACUAUGUUGUAUUUGUGAUGUACAAUUGACGAAUCAUAUGUUUGAAAUUGGGAUAACUGGACAACUAGUACAACUAUGUUGUAUUUGUGAUGUACAAUUGACGAAUCAUAUGUUUGAAAUUGGGACAACUAGUACAACUAUGUUGUAUUUUUGAUGUACAAGUGACGAAUCAUUUGUUGGAAAUUGGGACAACUGGACAACUAGUACAACUAUGUUGGAUUUGUGAUGUACAAUUGACGUUUCAUAUGUAUGAAAUUGGGGUUUAGUACAAACCCUAGACAACUAUGAAAGACAUCUAAAAUGAGGUUUUAAAGAAGCUUCAGAAAAUGGGAUAACAAAUUAUAAGUUUAGAGUCAUAAUAUUGGUUUGACACUAAACACUCCUUAUAAAACAAGAGAGUCUUCACUAAUACUCAUCACAUGAUGAUGGAUAAAUGCAAAUGUUUGGAUUUAAUCAAAACGGAUUAAUCAGGACUUUUUAAUUGUGGUAUGAAACUUCAAACAAAUAUGAACAACUACAAUAUGUGGUAUAUGGUCAUGGGUCAACUGGAAAUAUUUGAAAAAGCUUAAAGUACAACUCUUACAAAUAUUGGACAACAAUACAAGUACGUACAACUAUAUGAUAACCCUUAUCAUAUUAUAUUUGCACGUGAAGCACAUGUGUUUACUAUGGCGGCAAAAUAAUUAAAUAGUUUUUAAAAUCUCUUUUCUUUAAAUUGUUCUUCCUCAUAUUCUACUGAGAACUUCCUCCUUUUUUAGGGUUUCAGCCGCAGAGCAAUUUCACAAGAUUAAGAUAAUGUCGAAGAAGAAAUCUUCCUAAAAAAGACUGCCUUUCCGCCGAAGGAUUACGGCAUGACCACCAGGUGGGGGCCCGAAGUUAAUGGAGUCCGCACCAUUCUUCCAUGUCCCAUACAGAUGGGAAUUCCCAAGGUUUGCCACCACGGAAUUGCUCCAAUUGGCUGUUUAACCAACCAUUCAGCGUUAGAUAGGGGACGUAGGUACUUUGGUUGUUUUUAUGGUUGCCAUAGUUGAAGAGAUUAAAAUGGUAAAAGAAACUCAAGAGGAGAUGAAGUCUUUGUUUGAUGUCAUUAUCUCGAGAAUUGAAGCUCUUGAGGCUGCUGUGACCAAGAAGAGUUGCUCGAAGGAAGUUUGAAGCUCAAGAUCGUUUGUUGAACCUUGUCCUACAUCGUUGUCUUUGUUUCUUGAACCUUGUUGUCCUUUAUUGUCCUACAUCGUUUAACUAUGUUGUCCUUUAUUGAACUACAUUGUUAUCCUUUACUGAACUACUUUGUUGAACCUUGUUGUCCUUUAUUGUACUAAUUUGUUGAACCUUGUUGUCUUUUAUUGUCCUACAUCGUUUAACUUUGUUGUCCUGUAUUGAACUAUUUUGUUGAACCUUGUUGUCCUUUAUUGUCCUACACCGUUUAACCUUGUUGUUCUUUAUUGUCCUAAAUCCCAAAGAAUUGACCAUUAUUGUCCUAAUAUGUCCCAAAUCCAAACAAAUGUCCAAAUUCGAAUAUCAAACAUAAAAUCCACAACAUAAACUAAACAUCCGCAAACAACAUAACCUGUAACUUAAAAGAAAAACAUAACAUCCAGAAAACAAGAUAAACUGCAACAUCCGACACUUCUACUUCGAUAACAUCCAGUCUUCUGCUCUUGUUCUUCACCCUCCUGCUCUUGUUCUUCAGCCUCAUCCUCUUUUUCAUCAGCCUCCUGCUCUUGUUCUUCGGCCUCCUGCUCUUCUUCUUCAGCCUCAUCAUUUCCCUCCUCUUGUUCAUCAGCCUCUUCAUUUCUCGAAUCUUGUUCAUCACCCUCCUCCUUUCCCUCCUCUUCUUCAUCACCCUCCUCCUUUCCCUCCUCUUCUUCUUCACCCUCCUUUCCCUCCUCUUCUUCUUUGCCCUCCUCCUUUCCAUCGUCUGCUUCAUCACCCUCAGCCUCGUCUUCUUCUUCCAUGGGGUUUAUCGUUUCGGUUUCAUCUUCUGUGGGGAUUUUUUGGGCUGCGGUCUCCUCGAUAGGAUUCGGAGAGGUUUCUUUCUCCAUUUCUGUUUCUGAACUACAAACAUCUUCGCUUGUCUUUGUCGCGGCUUCGGUGGGAAUAGGGUUUACAACGGCUUGAGGAAUAUUUCCUUUCUCUUUAUCGGCGGCUUCAGGAUUUACUUCAGAUUCUCUCGCUGCGGCUUGAGAAUGCGAUUCCGUUUUAGGCAACGUUUUCCGACUUUCAGUUGACUCAUACUCGACGCCUUUUUGUUUCACACGAGUCAUGGAGAAGUCGUAACGAACCGAAGAUGGAGAAAUCGAUUAAAACGGAAGUUGUAGAUGGUGGAGUGGAAAUAAAACGAACGCAAUCGGUUAGCUUCUAUCAACACUCGCCGGAUUUUACGCCGGAAAACUCUCUCAAAUCUUUUUUCGAAUUUCAAUUAACUGUGUGGAGGUUUUUUUCCAAGAACUGAUAAAAUGGUAAAGUAAAUUAGGGUAAAUAAAAAGAAAUGCGAGUCGAAUCCGAUUUUAAUUGGGUAGGUUUUCAAAUGCCCAGAUAUUGUUGUAAUUAACGAGACAUUCAUGUAUAAGGUAAUAAACAACCAUCUUUUUGCUAUUUAAAAAAAAUUAAAAAGGAAUUGAUUAUACGAACGAUGGCAUUGGGGCUCUUUCUUCAGCGAUUUAUGGCAUUUUAGCAUUUGAUUCGCUUUAUUUUAACACUGUUACAAUUGUUUUUUUUUUCCUGUUAACUAACAGUUACAAUUGUUAAGAUAAUAGUUUUCGUGUGAUUUUUUUUUUCAGGGCACAGAAGCUGUAGUAGGAAUAUAUUUCGACACAUUAGAAAUCAAAGAGCCAUUUUCAAUAGAUGAAAAAUCGUUCGAAGGCAUGCGUAAUCUCCAAUUUCUAAUAGUUCGAGGGUCUCCACGGGGUAGAUUGCGUCUACCUCAAGACCUCGUUUAUUUACCCCGUAAACUCAUAUUGCUAAAGUGGGAUGGUUAUCCAUCCAAGUGUUUGCCUUGAACUCAGAAUGGAGAAUAGUUUGCUUGAGAAGCUGUGGGAAGGAAUUCAGGUACUAUAGUUUUAAAUUUAUUUCUAAGUUUCAUACGGUGUUACUAUUAGAACAAAUAACGGUCUUAUUUUUCUAUAUAUAUUGUUGUUAAAAGUUUAUAGAAUAUGUGUUCAAAAUGAUUUUGAACCUGUGCAUUUAUUUUUAUUUUCCUGUUUGUUUUCAGCCACUUGGAAGCCUCAAGCAAUUGAUUAUGAAUUGGUCCACAUAUUUGAGAGAACUUCCAGAUCUCUCUAAGGCCAUAAACCUCGAGAAAGUGUAUCUUGAUGGAUGCAAAUCUUUGGUGACAUUUCCUUCCUCGAUUCAGAAUCUCCUGAAACUGAGAGAUUUACAUUUGGAAAAUUGCACAGAGCUAGAAAGUUUUCCAACUCUUGUCAACUUGAAAUCUCUCGAGUACCUCAAUCUCCGAGGAUGCUCCCGGUUGAGAAAUUUCCCUCAGAUUUAUAUGGACAGUUCACAUGGAAUUAGCAUCGAAGUAAAAGACUGUUUCUGGAACAACAAUCUCCCUGGACCCGAUUAUCUCGGUGGCCUUAUGAGAUGUAUGCCUUGUAAAUAUCGACCAGAACAUCUCGUUCGUCUUACAGUGAAAGGCAACAUGCUUGAGAAGCUAUGGGAAGGCGUCCAGGUACAUUGUUAAUGUUUGAAUGUCAUAUGAUUGAAACAUAACAAAAUGUUUGGUUGUUCUGUUUCAGUCGCUUGGAAGUCUCGUGAGGAUGAAUCUGUCAGGAUCUGUAAACCUGAAUGAAUUUCCAGAUCUUUCAAAGGCCACCAAUCUGGAGCGUUUAGAACUCAACUAUUGCCAUAAUUUGGUGACUGUUCCUUGUACAAUUGAGAAUCUCAAGAAAUUGGUAAAGUUGGAAAUGAAAGGAUGCAUAAGGCUGGAGGCUCUUCCAACCGAUGUCAACUUGUCAUCUCUCGAAACCCUCGAUCUCAGUUGGUGCUCAAGUUUGACAAGUUUUCCUCAAAUUUCAUGGAGUGUGAAAAAACUCUAUCUAAAUGACACUGCCAUUGAACAAGUUCCCUGCUGUAUAGAGAAAUUCUGGAGGCUCCUUGAACUAACGAUGUGUCGUUGCAAGAGGUUGAAAAACAUCUCCCCAAACAUUUUCAGUCUGAGCCGUCUUGUGAAGGCAGACUUUUCAGACUGUGAAGGAGUAGAGACGGCAUUGAGUGAUGCAACUCCAGUGGCAACAAUGUCAACGGAGGAUCAAAUUCCUUCUAUACCAUUACACACAAAUGCCUAUAGAAGGGAAUAUUUUGAGUUCAAUAAUUGCUUCAAAUUGGAUAGAAAUGCGCGGGCACUCAUCCUACGAUCAUACGUGGCGCCUACAGUCUUACCAGGUGAAGAAGUGCCUGCGUAUUUCACGGAACAAGCUUCUGGAACUACCGUAGCUGUCAAGUUACCUCAGAGCUUUCUUUCUCAAGAACACCUCGCAAUUAAGGCUUGCGUCGUGGUCGGCAAGGGUUCGCAUUCAUACUUAGGGUUACGCUGGCACUUCAGAGGCGAAGAGCAUUGGGACACAAUAUUUGAAAAUCUGCCGGGGUCUUUUAAGAGGGAUCAUCUGGUUUUGCUUUCCUUCAAGUUCCGGCCUUCACUUCGUUUGGGUUUGAGUGACUUGAGUCCAACUAAUUUUCACUUCGACGAUGUUGAGUUUGAGUCUUCCACCAUCAACCCAUCCUCUGGCACCUUCUCACCGUCGGUCCAGAGGAUAACAGGAUGUGGUAUAAGAUUCUUGAAUCGGUCUACUACACGUCGUCGUCUAUCUAAAUUGGACUACUACUACAACGAUGUUGUCUCUGAGUUCUUCUUCAACCGAACAUUAAGAGAGGAUGCUGAGUACUUCUCUGGAAGAUGAAUCUGAUGAUGGAAGCUCUGGAACAGAGUACAACCAAAAAUCUAUACAAAGUUGUUAUCAAGAAAACAAUCUGUACAAAAUGUGAUGUUGUAGGGAUUGUGAGAAGAAAGAACGGAUGCGGGUAAAGCUUUUUGAACUCAAAAUUAUAAGGGUAUCUCUUGAUCUUUUUUUUCAGGAUCAAUAUCAUAGGUCCAUAGGGAUGAACUAUUUAAUAGACUAGAUCGUUUGGUUUUAUUAUGUAGAUUACAUUAAAAGAAUACAUGUGGGAUGUGGCGAUAAAGUAGCGGACACAGGUAUUGACGCCUCCAAAUAUAGAAUUUCUUCUACAAGUAAGAUACCGUUAGUUUCUUCUAGCAACUUUCAUGUCCAUGGAGCAUCCCUGUAUCUAUCCCUUUCUCCUUCUAUUCCAUGUCUGGAGGGGCAAGUUUUGUCUGUUGAUCCCCGAGAUAACUGAACAACUAGAUAUAUACAGAAACACUCACCGUGGAUCCUUUGUCGCACCCAGAGCUUACCAACUUUUUUUUACGGUAAGUGAAACAUCUUACAGUUCUGUUUUGUUCUAUAACAUCUUGCGAAUUGCGAUCGACCGUGGCUAUGCUGAUCUUGCCAAGACGUUUUCGUAGUUUUUUACGCAAUCCAUUUUUCCCUGCAGGUGAUGGUGAACUUCUCGAGAACCAGAACCUGUUUACGCACUCUAUUCUUACUUCUUUGUGUUACUGUUUCCCUCUUUGAGAAUUUCGCUUUUCAUGAAAGAAUAAACAUCUUUCAAAUAGCCACAAUUCAGCACAUUCUGGAAAAUUUUCUUUAGCAGGUUUUGUUUUGUACCAUAAAUCUAUCGGUUUUUAGUUGGAAAUUCGUUGAAUUUGUGAGCUUGGGUUUUACAUACUUGACUCGGGUAGUUUUUCUUUCCUUCUAACAAAGCAAUGAAUAAAUCAGGAUUUGGCCAAACUAAAAAUGUAUAAAAAAAAAUUCACUAGUUCUAAAUGGCAAGACCCUCUUCAUCAUCAGCAACAUUUGGAUCGCUGUUUCCAUGACGUUUCCUACACUCGCAGUAAAAAACAGUGACUACAACAUAACUCAGCACCACCUCAGCACCAUACAUACAAAUCAACUUCCACCCGUCUAAGCCACCGCUCACCACCACCGACCUCCACCACGACCCUGAGCUCGAGUCUACAUCUAGCUCCUUGGCCAGCUUCUCCAUCCCAUGACCAAUGAAACUCGAAAGAAACACAAAUACACCCGCCAAAGCCAAUCCAGUUAUCCUCCUCCCUUUCAUCAGAGAAUUUCCUUCCUUAAUCGCAUCAAAACCGUAUCUUUCUUCUAUCACAGAGACGACAAGGCCAAGCCCUGUUAUAGCCAUUAUGUAUACCUCAACGCCGAGACUGAGAACCGUGAUGAGGUAACGCAAUGUGGGUGUAUAACCCAAGAGAGCUGAUAGAAACAUGGGAAUCGGAGAGUAGAGGAAGAGCAGACCAUAGACAACAAUGGAAGUUGCAGUUACUCGCAUCCACGAGGACUUCACUGAUGCAAACGAUGACUUCAGAGACGUGUUUAGGCCGUUGUGUGAGAAGGAAGUUGAUGUGAUGACGGUUAUGGAUGCGAUACAGGAGAGGAUGAAGGACGGGACGAAAUAUCUGGAUUUGAGGUGUAGAAGCGAGACAGCGUCUUCUCUAGACUCUUGCCAGAUCUGUCUAGCUUCGAACCUUGUGUGCACGACGUUGGCCAGGGCUUCUAGACGGAAGACAUGGUUUUUAAGACGAAAGGAGGAGAGAGUUAGGGAGAGGUGUAAGGCUGCGAGAGGGAUUGCUACAAAGGCAAAGACUGGGAAUAAUAUGUGUUUGUUUCUCAAGAGAAUCAUGAAGGAGUCUAGGAGUGUUGUGGUGAUCCGCGUGGAAGAACCAGGUCGCUUUACUUCAAUCAUGAUAUCAAAAGGCACAUAGAAGCCUGCUGCUUAAAGCUUCAACCAAUGUUGGGACAACUCGAAACAGAGUAGAUACACUAUGCUUCUAGAGAAUGUCUUGUAUGAGGCCUGUGUAAACAAGAAAGCACAAAGCUUUUAGCAACUCAGAGAAUCAAUACAAGACUAAGUGCAUUGCAAAACCACAGUUUUCUCAGCAAAAAGAAUCACACUUAUCAGGUGGAAAUCACAGUUCCAUAUGAAAGAAUGACACUUUUAGCGAUUAUUCUAAUGACACUUAAACAAGGUUUGGUUCAAACAACAACUCCAGAGAUCAUACAUAGUUGACCGAAAUGUUAAGACUUUUUCUACACACCCCGGAGUUUUCGGAGUUCCAACAAGUUCGAGUUCAUUGAAGAAUAUAAACCAUAAUAUGAGUACGAAUUGAUGCUAUGUCGUCAAAUUAGAUCAAAUUCUGUGAUCUUGUGGACCAAACGUGUAUGAAGAAAUCAAACAAUCGACCGAGAUCAACUAGAAAUAACGAAUCCAGAACUAGAUUCUAUUUCCCAAACAACAGUCUCUAGAAAAAGGGUGAAUUUCGAUUCCCGAUCUAAAACUUGACGACUAAAUCCCAACUUUUAACAUUAGAACGGAAACAAUUAGGUUUAAUCCAAUCUUUUUUGCUUGAUUACGGUCUAUCUGAGAUCGAGACAAACCUGAAAGAUGCGAAAACACCGAUUGGUGUAAGAGGAAAUCCGAAGAAGUAUUGCUUGGAAGGAGAAUUCAUUGAUUUGAGAGACAGAACAAGUCAAUAAGCUUUGGGUUUUAAAGUUUAACCACUGUUUUAUAACUCAGUAAUUCUGUCCUUUGCGAAAAAAAAAGAAAAAAAAAACUCAGUAAUUCUGUCCUGAUUUGGGACAAUUUUGGAUGCCAAUUGCUUUUAUAAUGUUUUCGACCAAUAGAGUUACUUUACUAUUGGAUUACUAAUUAAUCAUUACUUAAUAAUGUUUUUUUGGUUAAUUGAGUUGUGAUGUUGAAUUAGUUAUUUAUCCACUAGAAAUUUCACAUUUUUUUAGUUUUUUUUAAUCAAAGACUCUAGAGUGAGGUAUCAAACAACAUUUUAUUGUAAAAUAUCAAAAUAGACAACUUUUUCAGACAAUCCUCUAUGAGGCUAUGAUUAUGAAUGUGUGUGACUGCGUGUAAUGAAAAAAAAAAACAAAAUACAGUAUACGAGGUAUAAAAAGAAAGAAUUGUCUCGACAACACAACAAAGAGUUUGCUUGCGGCACCAAAUCAUUGGAGUCUUCUUGGUAGUGAAAAGUUGUUUCCUUUCCCCAAAACUGAUUCAACCCGCAAAUGUGUUCCCUUCUCAUUGGAGCCAACAUUUUGCUUCUUGAACUCAGCUUCUUAACGCUGCUGACAAAUUCCAAAUCCAUCUCCGGUUUAGUAUUGUGACUAUUACUUGAGCAAAUCGAAACCGCAAUUGAACACAAGAUUCUAACAUUGCAGAGACAACUCAAUGCUCAUAUCCAGCAAGGUCUUUGGUAAUUCCUAAGUUUCACAAACCAAUGGAUUCAUAGACUGAGAGUCAAUUUCUGCAUCUAUAGAUGAAAUCGAAAACCAUCAAAAAAAUCAACCAAGAUGGUUUUUUCCAAUUUCCUCGGUUUACCUGAAUGAGAGAAGAGCCAGAGGAUUACGCCGCAGAGAAGAAGAAUGAGAGGAAUGAAAUGGAUGACGUUUUCUGCAGAUCUGAAUCGGGACUUCUCUCUCUUCCCCGGUUGAGAAUUCGGGUCGUACCUUGGCAAAAGCAGCUCCACAUCAUCUUCCAUAGCUGUAACGCUCUGAGAUCGAGGCGGAGACAGUGACGGCGUUGAAAGAUUCGCCGGAAACUGAUCCGAAACUCUUGAGCCACUUGCUGAUCUACGCAUCUCUCUCUCCCUAACGUAACUUCUCAAGUCAAAGGUCGAAACUUUUUUCACACAAUAACGCAUAUAAAUACUGUCGUCACGUCAGAUUUGACCAAUAGAGAAGAGUCAAAGCUCUUCUCUUUUUCACCAGUAAUCGCCACAAGAACAAGACCCAUCUUUGAAAUGGUGAAACCUUGUGGUGUCUCUCACCAUGAUCUCUCGUCUCUCUAUCUCCGAGAUAAAUUUGAUUGCUUUAUGGCAAUCACCACAGAUUCUCAGGUUCUUGAAAACUUGUAUCCGUGAACCUUCAGGGAGUUUUAAGCACCCAAAAGCAACAGCUAACUUCUCGCUAUGCCAUAACAAUAGUUUCUUUUUCUGCUCUUCCUCUACAUCGUGUAAAUCAAACUCCAGCUCUGGUAUGUAUCCAGCCAGCUCCAUCUUUUUCUCCAACUCCUUCAGUUUCUUGUGUAUUGACUCUAAUUCCGGGUGGAUCCGAUCACUUGAUCUGAAAUGGUGAACCUUGUUUCGAAUCUCGAUCCAACUGUAUCCUGGUACCUGAAACAAUCGAUUGAACACAUAAAAAGUCUUGUAAAGCGAAUAAAUAAUCACACCUUUUGCAAUCACCAUACCUUCACAACAUUGCUCUGCUUCAUUCUCUUACGAACCCUUGCAACGUCCUCCCAACGACUCAUCGAUGCGUAGAUAUUCGCGAGCUGCACAUACCCAGCUGCAUUACUCGGGUCAAGCUCAAGCAGCUUCUCGGCUGCGAAUUCAGCCAAUUCCACAUUCUUAUGCACCCUACAAGCCCCUAAGAGCGUCCCAAAGACUGCAGCGUGUGGUCUAAACGGCAUCGAUCGUAUCAGUUUCAACGCCUCGUCCAGCUUCCCAGCCCGACUCAGAAGAUCAACCAUACACGUGUAGUGAUCAGGCCGCGGUUCUACCCUGUAAUCUCUCACCAUCGACUCGAAAUGCUGCAUCCCAGUAUCCACUAAUCCAGAAUGGUUGCAAGCUAGCAAAACCGCUACAAACGUUAUCCAAUCCGGUCUGAUAUUGUCAUCUCUCAUCUCACUGAACAAACGCAGAGCCUUUUCUGCUCUACCAUGCUGUGCAUACCCGCAUAUCAUCGCGUUCCACGCGACGACAUCUUUCUUCCUCAUACCCUGAAAGAGCUUCCAGGCAUCACCAAGUUCACCACAUUUGCAGUACAUACUGAUCAGCGACGUCAAUGCGGUUAUCUCACUACACAAUAUAGAUUUACACACUAUCUGAUGGAUCUGCCUCCCUAACCGUAACGCAGAUAACUCGCUGCAUCCAAGCAAUACGCUGCUUAGACCUGACGGGUUAGGCCUAAUUCCAUCAAAAAGCAUUACUUUGAAAAGCUUCAAUCCAUCUCCUGGCCGAGAAUUUUCGACAUAACCAGAGAUCAUAGCAUUCCAUGUAACGAGAUUUUUCUUCACAGUCAUGUCUUUGAACACUGCCUCAGCUAAUUCAACCUUCUUGGCUUUCAUGUACCCUGUGAUCAUCGCCGUCCAGGCCACCACUCCUCUAACAGGAGCCGCUUUGAAGAAACGUGAUGCCAUUUCCAAAUCUCCGCAUUCUACGUAACCAGAGAUCAUCGCGUUCCAAGAAACCUCGUUCUUCUCCGUCAUGGCGUAGAACAAUUCCCGCGCUUUUUCCAUUUCCCUUCUCCGUGCAUACCCUGUGAUCAUCGUGUUCCACGACGCCGCGUCCUUGAAUGGAGCCCGAUCGAAAAAGCUCUGAGCUUUCUCGAAGUCUCCGUUACGAACGUAGCAAGACAACAUGAUGUUGUAGGAGAAAGUAUCUGGUUCAGGGAUUUCGUCGAACAGUUGGUGUGCUUCCUUCAAUCUGCUUGGAUCUUUUGAAAUCCCAACGAGCAGGGUGUUCCAGGUGACUGUGUUCUUAGCUCUCAUCCCGUGAAACACUCGGAGAGCUUCGUCUAUAUCUCCGGAACGUACAAAUCUGGCUAUAAUCUUGUUCAACGGGAAGAUUCGGUCUUGGUCACAAGGUUUAGUCGUCGUUUGAAGCGUCAAGUUAUCGGAGCGAACCAGAGAUGGCUCUGGCGAUGAACAAGAGGAAGACAAACAUGAUCCCACCAAAAUGGCAUCUGGGUUUUCUACGGAGCGCAAAAAGAAUCGAAAUUUCCAGCGUUUGAACGUCCGGUGAAUGUUGAACCGAGAAAGCAUUUUUCAUGGUUUAUGACAGAACAAGGAUGAAAAUGUUUAUAAAUCAUACCAAACAAAAAAAACCUAAAUUUGGAAUUUAACACCUAACAAUUGGGAGAAUCUGAGACAGAACUGAGUUCACUCUCAUUGUAAUAAACUGUUGAAUCAUCUUAUUGUUGAGUUAUUUCUAAUAAGAGACUUAUGUUUUAGAUUAAGUCAAUUGUUGUUUGCUAUUUUCUCGUUAGUGGUGGAACUAGUUGAACUAGUUGAGUCAUGUCCUUGUUUUACGGUUGUUUCAGUUAUUGUACUUUCUUUAUAAGGCAUUAAGGCCGAUGGAAUAAGAUCAGAUCAUUCUGAUGCAAUUUGUGAAUCCUUGAAACCAACUUUACAAUUGGUAUCAGAGCAAAAACACAAACGAGUGAUCAAAGAGAGAGCAAAAAAAAGGAGAGAGAGAAGAUGAGCGACGAUAAAACUCUUACCAAAAUUCCUUCAUUCAAUGGUCAUUACAAUCAUUGGAGUGAACUGAUGGAAAAUCUUUUGCGUGCCAAAGGAUUAUGGAAUCUGGUGGAAGAGGGAUUCACAAAACCGUCGGAGGGAGCCGAGAUGACCGCAGCGCAGCGGAAACAAAUCGAGGAACUCAAGGUGAAAGACCAUCAAGUGAAGCACUACCUGUUUCAAGCCAUUGAUCGGGUGGUAUUUCAACAGAUCUUAGAUCGCAGAACAUCCAAGAUCAUCUGGGAGUCAAUGAAGAAAAAGUUCGGAGGCAAUGAACGAGUGAAGAGAUCUCUCCUCCAAACCUUAAGAAGAGACUUUGAGAUUCUUGCAAUGAAGGCUGAUGAAAGCGUGGACGAUUACUUUGGCAGAGUAAUGUCCGUCUCGAACAAAAUGAGAAGUAAUGGAGAGGAUAUGCCAGAUUCGAAGAUUGUGGAGAAGAUACUUCGAACGCUCACUGACAAAUUCACAUACGUGGUGGUGUCAAUUGAGGAGUCCAAAGACACAAGCAGCAUCACCAUCGACAAACUGCAGAGCUCUUUGUCAGUCCAUGAGAAAAAGUUCAAAAGGACCAGCUAUGAGGAAGAUGAUCAAGCUUUCAAUGUCAAAGGCAGAGGAAGGGGAUCCUCCAGGGGUCGAGGCAGAGGGAGAGGUCGCUCCUUCAACAAAGCAUUGAUUGAAUGUUACAAGGGCCACAACCUUGGGCACUUUCAGUAUGAAUGUCCGCAGACAAACAAUGGUGCAAAUUACGCUGAGAUUGAAGAAGAAGAUGAAGUAUUACUGAUGGCGUUUGUUGAACUUCAAGGCACAAGAAGAGAAGAUGCUUGGUUUGUUGACUCUGGAUGCUCAAACCAUAUGUGCGGAGAAAAGGGUAUGUUCUCAAGUCUGGACACUGAUUUUACGCGUAACGUCAAGCUGGGCAACAAUCACAAGCUGAUGGUUGGUGGGAAAGGAGUAGUGAAGAUAACACUUAAAGGCAUCAGCUAUGUGGUUAACGACGUGUAUUAUGUCCCUGAAUUGAAGAAUAAUCUGUUGAGUGUUGGGCAGCUUCAAGAGAAGAGUCUGGAUGUGCUAUUCAAGGGAGGAGAACACAAAACCUGCAGCAUAUUUCAUCCAACAAGGGGAAAGAUAGCUGAGUCUGUCAUGAGUGCUAAUCGGAUGUUCAUUCUGCUGGGAGAAACAAGUGAGAAAAUGAAGGAAGAAAGAUGCCUGCAAGUUAACAUCUCAGACAAAGCUGAACUGUGGCACCAUCGAUAUGGGCAUCUCAGCCACAAAGGACUUCAUACCCUUCACAGCAAAGAGAUGGUUGUGGGUCUACCUGAACUUGCAGAGAUGAAGACCAUUUGUGAAGCCUGUGUCAAAGGGAAGAAGCAUCGUGUACCAUUUCCUAAGCAAAGCAAGUGGAGAGCAACUGAGAAAUUACAGCUUGUCCACUCAGACCUCUGUGGUCCGAUCAUCCCUCCAUCAAACAGUCAUAAGAGGUACCUGAUAAGCUUCAUUGAUGAUUUUUCCAGAAAAACUUGGAUAUACUUUGUGCAAGAGAAGUCCGAAGCAUUUCAAAUGUUCAAGAUAUUCAAAGCACUCGUGGAGAAGCAAACAAGGUUGUUUAUCAAGUGUUUAAGGACAGACAGAGGUGGAGAAUAUAAUUCCAGCGAGUUCAAAGAAUUCUGUAAGGAGAAUGGGAUCAGAAGGCAGCUAACCACAGCUUACACUCCCCAGCAAAAUGGGGUUGCAGAGCGCAAAAACCGAACCAUUAUGAAUAUGGUGAGAGCAGUCUUGAUGGAAAAGGAGGUGCCUAAAUCUUUCUGGCCGGAUGCUGUGCAGUGGGUAAACCAUGUUUUGAACAGGUCUCCCACCUUGAUUGUUAAAGAUGUGACUCCUGAAGAGGCAUGGAGCGGAAGAAAGCCUUCGGUCGAGCACUUCAGAAUCUUCGGAUGCAUCGGGUAUGUUCAUAUCUCCGAUGUAAAAAGGACCAAACUUGAUGAUAAAAGCGCAAAGUGUGUCUUGCUAGGCUUCAGCAGCGAAUCCAAAGCAUACAAGAUGUAUGAUCCAGUGGAGAAAAAGGUUCACAUUAGCCGAGAUGUGCUAUUUCAAGAAGACAAGGGCUGGAAUUGGGAUGUUGCUUAUUCGGGUGAACAGAACAUGGAGCUUGCGUGGGAUGAUCAGUACGAGUGCAGUGAAAAUCAAGAAAUAGAAGAAGAAGAAGCAGAGGUAGCUGAAGAUGAAGCAGAAGAAAGAACUAAUGUUCCUGUGCCAAACAAUCUAACUGCAGACACAUCAACGUCUGCAGGCAGAACAAGGAGACCACCUGUUUGGGCUGCCGACUUUACCUCAGGAGAGGAGCUGUCAGAUAUGGAGGAAGAAGCAAAUAUGGUCAGGGUUGAUAGUCUCGACAGCACAAUCUGACAUUUAUGGCAUUGAUAGUCAGAGGUAGCUGAAGAUGAAGCAGAAGAAAAAACUGAUGUUCUUGUGCCAAACAAUCUAACUGCAGACACAUCAACGUCUGCAGGCAGAACAAGGAGACCACCUGUCUGGGCUGCCGACUUUACCUCAGGAGAGGAGCUGCCGACUUUACCUCAGGAGAGGAGCUAUCAGAUAUAGAAGAAGAAGCAAAUAUGGUCAGGGUUGAUAGUCUCGACAGCACAAAUCUGGCAUUUAUGGCCAUCUCAGAUCCUACGAGCUUUGGAGAAGCAAGUUAUAAAAUGAUUACUUUUAUAACAUCUCAGAAUACGAACAGAAACGAGAAAGGAAGUGAAACUCACUGAAGACUCGAAACCGAUGAUAACAUUAGAAUUGUCUGUCUGAAACAAGUAUCAUAAAUAAGAAAACAACAAACGACUAAAGACUAAAUGGUAGGUAAACAAAGGAAAAAAAGAGUGUAUUGUUGUUUCAAAAGUAAAAAAAAAAACCGGUCAGGCAUAAGCUUGCAUAAAAUCUAAGAAACUGACGACAACUAAAAAUUUACACCUGACAACAAAAGACCGGUAAACAGUAAAUCAUUCAGACUCGAUUUCAGCAGCGGAGGAAAACUGGAACGAGUUUCGAUGUUUUCAUUGGAUGGAUCUUACUUGCCCCCAAGAGAUGGGAACUGAGCAGUAUCUCCAAUGACAGGCGCAGCUUCACUACGGUGGCCACCAAAUCCGCCGCUAGAAGCACCUCCACGGCCACGACCACGACCACCACGUUCACGGCCACCACGACCUCCUCCUCGGUAGUAGUUCUCACCCUCAGCUGGCUUCAGAAACUCAUUGAUGCUCACAGCCUGCAAAUCAGAAACACACAUUCAUAAGCAAAAAAGCUUAUUGACUUCUACAAAAUAUUUUUGAUUCAGAAAACGAUUUGAACCUUUUUGGCCUUCUCUUCUUUGUCAUCUUUGCGUUUGUCCUUGUCAGAACCCUGUGAAAUAGAUCAAAGCAAGGGUCAGAAUCGUCUAAGCAAGUAGAUUCUAUACACGAUAUUGUCUUACCAACUUGAUGAAGAUUUCAUCGUUAGACUUCUUGUUUGAGAGUUGUUGCAUUGAUUCAAACACUUUAGUAUCAACUUUCCUCUCGGAGGUGGUCUGAGAUUGAAGGGCCUUUUUCUUCUCCUCAAGGAUUUUCUCAUACUCAUCCAGAGUCAUUUCCUAAUUCGAAACACAAGCCAAAACACAAUCAAUGUGAAUAACAAGUAAAUACUGGUGAAAGGGCCUAAUAACUACAACACUGAUUUCAAGUUCCAUCAUCUAUUCUCGGCUUACCUUGUUCUCAGGCUCUUUCUCCUCCUCAGCUUCAGCAGUGUUCUCCUUGUUAGCAUCAGCAGCUACAUCAUCACCAGCAGGCUUCUCCACAGCAUUCUUUUCAGUCUCAGCACCAGCUACUUCCUCAGUCUCACUAAAAGAGACAAGAGAAUCUUCUUUUAGUCCAAAUUCCAAAUUCUUAUCACAUAAACCAACACAAAUGUUUUUACAAAAUGCAAUCAAUCCCAAAAACAAAUGCUUACCCAGCAAAGACUUCUUCUCCUGGUGUUCCCCAAUUUCCACGACCAGAUCCUUCACGUUUGAAGUCACCCCUAACCAAAAGAUAAACUUAAGCUCAUGAGAAUUUCAAUUGCAGAACAUGCCACAACAACAAUAAAAGUUGAGCGAGAGUAAGACUAACCCCCUGCCAGUUCCACUGCGACGCUCGUGCGUCCUUCGAGGACGUUCGCCUUCACCAUCUUCACGUCGACCACCACGGAAAGAACCACGAGGAGCACCUCCACCACCACCACGCCUCUCAUAAGAAGACUUUGACACGUCUCCUUCCUCUGAGGGCUUACUGUAUCCCCCUGAGUAUCCAUUGUUACCUCCGGGACCAUCACCACGUCCAAAAUCACGGUUGUAACCACCAGGACCUCCACGACCACGGCUAAACCCUCCGCUGCCUCUACCACCACCACGUGGAGCUUCACUCCUAGCCUCUUUCACUAAUUAACAACAUUAAGGUACCAACCUCAAUCAACUAAAACAACGAUACAAAACUCCAAAAAUAAAUUCAAUGAAUCAAUCUAGAGAAUCUAAUAUAACAACACAUACAGUCUACUAAAUAAGGAAAUCGAAUAGAUGAGAAGUUUUAUAGUUUGCUAAUCGUGUUUAAGAGAAUCUCACCAGCUUGAGCAGGAGGAAGUGGCUUCGACGGAAGCUUCCCAGCAGCUGAAAUGGGACCAGACUUCUUGGACUUAUCAGUUUUCUCCGGUGGAGCGAUGGAGACGGCGAGCUGGCUUGGAUCCUCAGCGUCGUUACCCAACAGAUCAAAAGGGUUCAAAGUUGCCAUAUCUUAAAAUCAAUCGAAGUGAUUAAAACACACAAACUUUUUUCCUCCCCAAAAGUAUCACACAGAGUCACAGAGACAACUAACAGUAGUAAUAAAGUGAAGCCAUGGAUUAAUAGAUCUAAAGAGUAGAAAAGAAACGUCGGAAUGAAAGAGACGAAAUGGGAAUUAGGACAGGAACUAAUUUGAGUUUGGUAAGAGAAAUGAAAAGAAAGAAAAUGUGGCAAUUUUUGGAGUGGCCGAAAAGCGGCGUAGACAAACCUAAUCGCUUAAAACACCCAGCUUUUCUCACUGAUUGAGUGUGGUCGACCGCAUGGUAAGAUUGAAAUGACCGGCAAGAUCUAACCGUACGAUGCAGCGAUCCUGAAAUCGACAAGAAAACAAUACAUAACUCAACAAGUCAUUAUUUGAGCAAACAUGUUAUUCUUCCAUGGGCCAUUUUUAGUAUUGUUUGAUCAUAUAGGCCCACGAAAAAUUGAUACUUUUUAUUUUAUUAUAUUUUUGCAUUAUCAAAUGAUCUUUAUACGAUCUUGAUAUGUCUAGGACUCUCAAAUCAAUGUCGACAAAAAAAGAUAUGUCUAGGGCUCUAGAGUCUACAAAAGUUUUUGUGAUUUGAAUAACUUCUUAUCUUCUUAUCUAACAUAUACACAACAAACAAAAAAUAUUGUGAUAUUCAAAGAAGUCUUAUGUUUGUAAAUUAGUAAUACUACGAUCGUUUACCUUCUUGGCUUCCAUGCAACGCCAAAUUUCUAUUUAUAACAAAUGUCAAAAGACUCCAAAAUAUUACACAGUAACACAACUUCUAUCAUUUGCAUUUAACAUGCCAAUGGCGAUAAAUAAAAAGCUUUUAUUCCAAAUAGGAACAAACAAAAUAGUCGGCAAACUAAUAAUAACAAUUAGGCUUGUCGGCAAAAAAAAAUACAUUUUUUCAAAAGUGCAUAAAGAAAAAGAAAAUUAGAGCUCUGUCAUGACGACGGACUAGGCAAAACAUCUCCGUUAUCAGGAACAGUAGUAAUACGGCUAAGUCUCAAAGACUUUCCAGUGUACAAAGCCUUGACGUUUGACCGUUGCUCAUCCAAAAGCUUCCUCAAACUACGUUUCGCGUUUGCCCUAAACGGACAGUUCGACGCUAAAAAACCGUCGACCAAAUGCAAAUACGCCUCCAAGUCAUGACAGCACGCCACGUCAGCAUUCGGUUUCAAGUACGGAGACAUCUUCAUAUCUACGCGCAGCUCCGCUCCCACGUGCGAGUAAGCCCAUGGAUUGUUCUUCUCCACCAUCUCCAUUAUUAUACCCCCUUGACUUCUCCCGUUAUUACGAUUCUGCCCUUGCUUAUCGUUAUCGGAGAAUAUCCCGGGGACUUUCGUCACCACGUCCUGGCUGUUCACUACGCGGAGGACUUUCACUCCCUUCGAAUCCAACCGAUCGGCGAACUCCCGGUUUCCGACUCGAGGCCCGCCGAAUGAAAACACCGACACCGGAGGCGCGUGUGGA